rnacentral:rRNA from 1 species
GACGAACGCUGGCGGCGUGCUUAACACAUGCAAGUCGAACGGAAAGGCCCUGCUUUUGUGGGGUGCUCGAGUGGCGAACGGGUGAGUAACACGUGAGUAACCUGCCCUUGACUUUGGGAUAACUUCAGGAAACUGGGGCUAAUACCGGAUAGGAGCUCCUGCUGCAUGGUGGGGGUUGGAAAGUUUCGGCGGUUGGGGAUGGACUCGCGGCUUAUCAGCUUGUUGGUGGGGUAGUGGCUUACCAAGGCUUUGACGGGUAGCCGGCCUGAGAGGGUGACCGGCCACAUUGGGAAUGAGAUACGGCCCAGACUCCUACGGGAGGCAGCAGUGGGGAAUAUUGCACAAUGGGCGGAAGCCUGAUGCAGAAACGCCGCGUGCGGGAUGACGGCAUUCGGGUUGUAAACCGCUUUCGCCUGUGACGAAGCGUGAGUGACGGUAAUGGGUAAAGAAGAACCGGCUAACUACGUG